UAUUGCUAGGGGUGCCUAUUGGCUGAGAGGAUUUUUCCAACUCGUUGAACCUGAUAUGGUUAAUACCAUCGUAGGAAAGCA
rnacentral:ncRNA from 1 species